rfam:Octopus bimaculoides Scaffold22521_contig_72, whole genome shotgun sequence.
ACUGGCUUCAGCUAUACAUAUACUAAAAUGGAAUAAGACAGAAAAGAUUUGGGUGACCACUGCACAAGGAUGCCACACAAAUAUCUGAAGUGUUCCAUAUUUUU